UUCUUCAGUCCAGCUGCUCUCUUGUCGAUGACCUUACUGCACUGCACCCAGACUAAGUCAAGGUCCCCAUAAUGAGCAAACCAAAUUACAGCGUGUCUACAGUGGAAAAGACCUUCAGGUUAACUGCGAGUGGGUGGAACUCGUCAAGAAAAUAACUUCACCACCACAACAACAAAUGACGAGAGAGACAGAAACUUCUUUGGGAGAACAGAGGGAAAAAAAAGCAAAGUCUGACUAUUAUUAAACAUGUGAAAGAAGAGUCAUUUAUUUAAUAGGAAGUAGCUCAUUCACACAGGCGUAACCUUGUGGUCCCCGAGAAGUGCGUAAAUACUACCGAUCCAUCCACCACAGAAGAUCAUCACAAUUUCUCGGGAAAUGCCUCACUGAAGAGUUUUUCAGAAGAGUAUAAGUGUGCAUCAGCCGCAUGAAUUCAAAAAUAUUGAACACUAGCUGCUGUAAUGCAAAUUUUUUUUCCCGUCCAUAGGUAUCAUGUUUUGCCAAAUUUAGUGUGACUUUUGAAUUGAGGCCAAACAUAAACCCUUUGAACCGUGCUCAACUUCACAAGAGGAAACUGCUUCCUGUUUCUAAGAGGAAGACCUUAAACGGACUGAGGAAAUCUUUUCUUUUGGCACUAAAUAGUAAGCUCUCCCCAAUUAUGCAUGUUGGAUAGUUGCUGAAAUAGUUCUAUUUCGUAAAUCUUGAAGAAAAUGAAUGAGUGAAAAAUACCUAAGGGCUCAUAAAUCCGAGAUGUCGAAACAUUCAAAAUUCAAGCCUCCCAACCCUGUGUGUGUGUGUAUUCUCUCAGCCCUGGUAUCACAAACUCUGCAUCCCUUCCUUCAACUUGGUUGUCAUAUAAUGGUUUCAACAGACCCAUCAGAAAGUUUCUCACCACACUAUGGACUUCUGCUGUUGGAAAGUGAACUGUUUGAUCGUCGCUGCUUUGAUUGGUGAAGAGUCUGAGCAGUACAGUUCCUCUUUCCAAACACGAGCAGCAUCUUUCUUUCUCUCACUCCCACUUCAAACCAGUUCUUCACCUUUGCUCAAUCAUCUGACUCAAAACCACAGCCUCCUCUGACCUCACCCACACGCAACAUGUGACCCCUAAGGGAGUCCACUAACUCCUUCCAUGAGCAUGUGCACCUGGGAACUCAAUGCAGCAUAAAUGAAUCCUAUGAGGUCUUGUUUUGGUUUGGAGGUCUUGGGGUGGGGCCGAUAAGGUCCCAGACGAAGCAUGAUUGGCACAUGGUGGACUACAUUAUGAACAGAAUGAUGUUCAUUUUAUUUAGAAAGAAAUUAUUUUUAUU